GUCGAGCGUGGUGACGCGAGCCUGUAAUCCCAGAUACUCGGGAGGCUGAGGUGGGAGGAUCAGUUGAGUCCAGGAGUUCUGGGCUGCAGUGUGCUAUGCGGAUCGGGUGUCCGCACUAAGUUCGGCAUAAAUAUGGUGACCUCCCGGGAGCAGGGGACCACCAGGUUGCCUAAGGAGGGGUGAACCGGCCCAGGUCGGAAACGGAGCAGGUCAAGGUCAAAAAAAUGGGGAAAGAAUUGUACUCUAGCAACUGUGGAUUGCCAGCUCUUAUGGAAAGGCUUAUAAACUCUUU
ensembl:misc_RNA Metazoa_SRP Metazoan signal recognition particle RNA